rnacentral:rRNA from 1 species
GUGUCGUGAGAUGUUGGGUUAAGUCCCGCAACGAGCGCAACCCCUAUCCUUAGUUGCCAGCAUUCAGUUGGGCACUCUAGGGAGACUGCCGGUGACAAACCGGAGGAAGGUGGGGAUGACGUCAAAUCAUCAUGCCCCUUAUGAGUUGGGCUACACACGUGCUACAAUGGACGGUACAAAGGGCAGCGAGACCGCGAGGUGGAGCCAAUCCCAUAAAGCCGUUCCCAGUUCGGAUUGCAGGCUGCAACUCGCCUGCAUGAAGUCGGAAUCGCUAGUAAUCGCAGGUCAGCAUACUGCGGUGAAUACGUUCCCGGGUCUUGUACACACCGCCCGUCACACCACGAGAGUUUGCAACACCCGAAGCCGGUGAGGUAACCGCAAGGAGCCAGCGAAGGUUUUCGGAUCGUAAAACUCUG